UACGUAGGCAGCGAGCGUUGUUCGGAGUUACUGGGCGUAAAGAGUGCGUAGGCGGUCCUCUAAGUUUAGUGUGAAAUCUCCCGGCUUAACCGGGAGGGUGCGCCGAAAACUGGAGGGCUUGAGUAUGGGAGAGGUAAGCGGAAUUCCUGGUGUAGCGGUGAAAUGCGUAGAUAUCAGGAGGAACACCUGCGGUGUAGACGGCUUACUGGACCAUCACUGACGCUGAGGCACGAAAGCGUGGGUAGCAAACAG
rnacentral:rRNA from 1 species